AAUCGCUAUCGUUCACCAGGAGGAUGCCAAAUAAAUGAAACAGUCAUUCCUGCCUUCACUUCAGUGGGUUUUGCCUUUAUUUCAGAGACUUUUUUUUAUUACUGAUGCAACUAAAGAUCCAGCAUUUUAUAGCAAUACAUGUGCAAAGAGAAAGGUGCAAUCACGUGAAACUGUUGCUAAAUUUAAAUCACUGUUUAAGCAGCGAGUGAAGAAAUGAGGGCAGGUGAGGAGGGAAGAAGGAUCUGAGAAAAGGAAUUGUGUCUCUUUGAGAAUGAACCGUCUGAUCCCACAACAACUAAACCACCGGGAAGGUGGGUGCUGGUGAUUUCACAGCCUCUGUGUGUCUCCAGUUUCUGCAGGGUAUUGCCUUACCUCAUGUACAUAAUGCACUUCAAAUAGAAAAGUGUUCUUGUGUUUUUAUUUGAUUUUUUUUGCAGCAAUAACAGUCACUCGUGAAAUCCUGUCAGAUUUGUGUUUUUGCUGAUGAUGAGGCCUCGUCUCCUCUUGUUUCAUCUGAACAGCAAAAAGAUGGUGAUACAAAAUUUGAGAAACAUCUGAAUACUUUUGUAAAAAUUGCUAAAAAAUGGAUGUUGUCCUCACAGUUUUAGCCAAUAACGAUUCAGUCUUGGUUCAGUUGCUAAUUUCAUUUACAAUUUUGUUUUCACUGUUUCAAACUCAAAAUGACAGAUUCUCUGUUUUAUUUCCAGUCAGUAAACACUGGGUUUCAUUGGACUGUCCUUCAAAAGUUCCUGGUGUGUGUGUGUGAGUCCUUCCCCCAGUCUUUAGAUUUAUAUAUAUUUAUAUAGUUUUAGGUUUAUCUGCCCUCCACUGGUUCUCUUCCCUAUUCAAAUAAUUGCAGAGGUGGAAAGUAACGAAUUACAUUUACUUGCGUUACUGUAAUUGAGUAGAUUUUUUUGCGCAUUUAUACUUUUUAAGUAGUUUUUAAAAUCUGUAUUUUUACUUUUACUUGAGUAUUGUUUUUUGUAAGUAUUGUACUUCGCUACAUUUUUUAUCUUAUCCGUUACCGAGUAAAAAAAAAACAACAACAUUGCAAAUACUGUGUCGGCACGGUUUGCACUGGAUUCAGACAUAACCAAAGAAGAGAGACGAGAGUAUAAACACAUACUUAUGUAGAAGCGUCUUAACGCACUCGAGAGUGAUCCAGCGCUUAAUGAAGUGUCUAUGUACAUAUAUGUCUAUACUGAUAAGUCCUAAACACGGAAGUGCUGCGGACGCUGAAGGCGCGCACCAGAAGAACUGAGUGAUUAAGUUACGAGAGUGUUACGGGGUACGAAGGAAAGGAUAAGAAACACUAACUGACUAUUCGGAUGACUGGAGGAUCACCUAAGAAGAUCAAAGCUUGUGAGAAGGAAUUAAGGGAUGUCUGAGCAGUCAACAGGUGAGUUGAACUUCUUAGUGUGAAGCAUGUGUUCAGUGACCUUACAGUGCAAUGAAUGAUGGGUAGGAGAAGAAAAUAGGCGCGAAUGGUACGAGAAAGAUAGCCUGGCCUGCCAGACUCCUCCUGUUUAAUUCACUUCAUACACGGCGAUGCUCAAUUUCUCAUAAACAACGAAGGCAGCGGCGGAGUUCGCUGCGGCUCUUUCCUCUGUUUUAAAUGACACAGAUGUCUUUAAAACCACAAGUAGAAGCGCUAAAAGCAUUUCUUCUAAAAAAAAUAAAAGAUGUUUGCGCCAUUGCCAGAUGCCAUUUUUUUUUUUUUUUUACUACAACUAGAAAUCUACCGCAUCAUGUGGUACAGUCGGGAUUUCCUUCUUUUUUCUGAUUGGUCAUUUUUGAGCUUCCUAGUCCCGCCCCUCAAGUGAUCUUCCAGCUAAAAGAAAAACUCAGCAGACUGGAGACUGUCUCCAAGAUGUGUCUGCCACUCUUCAGAGCCAUUCAGGAUGGUGUCCAAAAGCACUUUGGUGAGAUGAUGGAAGACCCUGAGCUGACUGCAGCUGCAAUCCUUCUUCCAAAGUUCAAGACCACCUGGACUGAGAGGCACGAUAUCAUUGAAGCAGGUUUGAUCAAUAUGAGAAGACAUCUUGACCAGAUGGCAGAGGCUGGGGCGGAGCAAGUCAAGCAACAGUCAUCACAUCUUACCCUCAUCUUUGUUUAAAAGUGCUUUUCAGUCCAUCGGUCCCAGCGUGCUCUCCAUUAUUAAUGCUUCUCUGGUUUCUGGUCAGGUCCCUGCUUACUUUAAGAACGCUGUAAUCCACCCGCUUCUUAAAAAACCGAGUCUCGACCCCUCUCUCCAUAGCAGCUUCAGACCCAUCUCUAAACUUCCGUUCAUCUCCAAGAUCUUGGAAAAGGUUGUGGCUAAACAACUCACAGCUGCUCUUGAUGAACAUAACAUCUAUGAUAGCUUCCAGUCAGGUUUUCGUAGAGCUCAUUCUACUGAAACAGCUCUUCUUAGGGUCUCUAAUGACCUUCUGACCCACAGUGAUGCAGGGGACUGUUCUGUUCUGGUCCUGCUGGACCUGACUGCAGCCUUUGACACUGUUGACCAUCAUCUGCUACUGGAGAGGCUGAUAUAAUGGGUAGGCCUAUCAGGAUCUGCCUGGGUUACUAGUUUGCAGUGUAACUGCCUUUGUACUUCAAUAUGCAUAUUUGUUCAUUUAAUAAAAAAAAACGGCCACUUUGACAUUUA